rnacentral:rRNA from 1 species
UACGAAGGAUCCAAGCGUUAUCCGGAUUUAUUGGGUUUAAAGGGUGCGUAGGCGGGCUAUUAAGUCAGUGGUGAAAGCCCCAAGCUCAACUUGGGAAUUGCCAUUGAUACUGAUGGUCUUGAGUACACUUGAAGUGGGCGGAAUGUGUCAUGUAGCGGUGAAAUGCGUAGAUAUCGGGAGGAACACCUGUGGCGAAGGCGGCCCCCUGGUUGGAUACUGACGCUGAUACGCGAAAGCGUGGGGAGCAAACCGG